UACGUAGGGUGCGAGCGUUAAUCGGAAUUACUGGGCGUAAAGUGUGCGCAGGCGGCUUCGCAAGUCGAGUGUGAAAUCCCCGAGCUUAACUUGGGAAUUGCGCUCGAAACUACGGAGCUGGAGUGUGGCAGAGGAGUGUGGAAUUCCUGGUGUAGCGGUGAAAUGCGCAGAUAUCAGGAGGAACACCGAUGGCGAAGGCAGCACUCUGGGACGGUACUGACGCUGAGACGCGAAAGCGUGGGGAGCAAACAGG
rnacentral:rRNA from 1 species